UCCGAGGGCGCCCCGACUCGGAGCCUGACCUUCGGCAAAGUGUUCACUCCUAUCUCCGCUUCCUCGGCCAUAAAACGGGAUCAGCAGACCUUCGCCACCUCACAGCAGUGUCAUAAAUUUCGGCCAAAAGCUUUCUGGAUAAGUGCUCCUGGAAACCCAGGAGGAAAGAGUUCUCCUUCCAAAGUUUAGGAGCGAAAAAAAAGAAAAAAGAGAGAGAGAGAUUUUAAACAUCAAAAUAGGAUGCUGUUUAGAGCUUCUAAGAGCAAAAUGCUUUGCAAAACAGAAGCAAAGACUGAUGGAUGAUAGGGAGCCUACCGAUUGCUAAAAGGCCCAUAAACUGCCCGGAGAAUUCUGGAGUGGUAUUCUCUAAAUGAAAAUUAGGGGAGAAAUUGUUUUGGUUUGAGGUGGGAGAGAAUACUGAAAAUCAGGCAGCACUGCCCUGUACAGGACCGCCGCGUGUGGCUGCGGGAAUCUACGUCCAAAGCUUGGAAUAUUUUGCCCAAUUCUCCUGUGCGUUAUUCAGUGAGGAUGGCACAGAGGGAAAAAUCUUUCUGCCCUUCCUCUUCUCUUCAGACUUUCAUGGACUGUCCUAGAGAGAGGCUGUGGUGGGCUUCAGAGCUGGCAGGCUGGCACUGGCCCUCGGAGGUGAGGGAGAUACUGUCCAUUCGCAAAUACUGAGGUUUCUAAGGGAAGAUGAGGAACCCCCCCACCCCCAACCCCGGAGGCUUCAGAAGGCACGGAGGAUGCCAGAAUUGGCCUACUGUGGACAAACACACAGCACUGCAUCACUACCAGAAAGAUCUCUUGGUUUUUUCCCCAUCCUCUCAAGCCAAACCUCAGGCAACCACAGGCAGCAGAACACUCCAGUCUUUACAUGGCUGGCCGACAGGACUGAAGAGGUGUUUCUUGCCCAAGCCAGACCGUCUGUGAUGGCACUCCGACCUGGCACUCAGCCUGUGAAAGCAGGUGUCACAUGACAGGACCUCCUCUGCAGGCUUAAGAAAAAAGAACUACAACGUUUUUGCCAGUUGGGAGAUGAAAAUGAAGUGGACAUGGGACCACUGGUAAGAUCUAAAAGUGUGGGAAAAUAUGGUUGUAUUAGUUAUCUAAGGCUAUGUCACAACAUCCCCCCAAAGCUUAGCAGUUUAAAACAAUAGGAAACAUUUAUUCCUUCACAUGGUUUCAGUGGGUCUGGAACUGAGCAGUGUCUUAUCUCGUUCUUGUUGGUUCUGUCUCAUGAUAUGAGACACUUUUACCAGUUUCCUCUGUGUCUCUUUCAGAGAUAGGACUCUGUCAUUUUAACAGGUGACUCAGGUCAUUCUUGUAAUCUGGUGUGUUUGGGACAUCCUGUUCUAUUAAAAUAAGUCAAAACGCCUGGAAAACUUCA